rnacentral:rRNA from 1 species
GUGGGGAAUAUUGGGCAAUGGGGGAAACCCUGACCCAGCAACGCCGCGUGAAGGAAGAAGGCUUUCGGGUUGUAAACUUCUUUUACCAGGGACGAAACAAAUGACGGUACCUGGUGAAUAAGCCACGGCUACCUACGUGCCAGCAGCCGCGGUAAUACGUAGGUGGCGAGCGUGAUCCGGAUUUAUUGGGUGUAAAGGGCGUGUAGGCGGGACAGCAAGUCAGAUGUGAAAACCAGAGGCUCAACCUCUGGCCUGCAUUUGAAACUGUUGUUCUUGAGUGUCGGAGAGGUAAUCGGAAUUCCGUGUGUAGCGGUGAAAUGCGUAGAUAUACGGAGGAACACCAGUGGCGAAGGCGGAUUACUGGACGAUAACUGACGCUGAGGCGCGAAAGCGUGGGGAGCAAACAGGAUUAGAUACCCGGGUAGUCC